rnacentral:rRNA from 1 species
CAAGAGCGUAUGUAAAAGUUGUUGCAGUUAAAAAGCUCGUAGUUGAACCUUGGGUUUGGUUGGCCGGUCCGCUUUUUUGCGAGUACUGGAUUCAACCAAGCCUUUCCUUCUGGCUAACCAGUCGUUUCGGCGGCUGGCGAACCAGGAUUUUUACUUUGAGAAAAUUAGAGUGUUCAAAGCAGGCAUUAGCUUGAAUAUAUUAGCAUGGAAUAAUAGAAUAGGACGUUAUGGUUCUAUUUUGUUGGUUUCUAGGACCAUCGUAAUGAUUAAUAGGGACGGUCGGGGGCAUCAGUAUUCAGUUGUCAGAGGUGAAAUUCUUGGAUUUACUGAAGACUAACUACUGCGAAAGCAUUUGCCAAGGACGUUUUCAUUAA